CAUUAAGAAAUGAACCUUGAGGCUGUUGCUGGCUCAUAUAUAGGCAUGUGCACGCCUCUGGUCAUUAUUAAUUCCACCUGUGCAUGCUUGUAGACACUUGGGAAUGAGAGACUUUAACCAGCCCCUUGAGAAAUUGAACUUUCCAAUCUCUGGGUGUCUAUGCCAUUUUUAAAACACCAGUUGCAUGUUUAUAGAAUGAUAUGAUUACCAUGUAAAAUACAACUUUCAACAACGGAUCUCUUGGCUCUCGCAUCGAUGAAGAACGCAGCGAAAUGCGAUAAGUAAUGUGAAUUGCAGAAUUCAGUGAAUCAUCAAAUCUUUGAACGCACCUUGCGCUCCUUGGCAUUCUGAGGAGCAUGCCUGUUUGAGUGUCAUUAAUAUCUCAAGACCUGUCUGCUUUUGAUAGGUUUCGGAUUUAUGGGGGUUGCAGGCUGUUUCAAAUAGCUUGCUCUCCUUGAAUGUAUUAUUAGUGGAGGGAAGAAAAAGUCAUUAAACUCCAUUGGUGUGAUAAAAUGGUAUCAAUGCCAGGAGCAAUGAACAACAGUUCUCUCAGCUAACUGUCUGUAGUAAAACAUGGACAACUUGACCAACUUGACCUCAAAUCAGGUAGGACUACCCGCUGAACUUAA
rnacentral:sRNA from 1 species